rnacentral:rRNA from 1 species
UACGUAGGGUGCGAGCGUUAAUCGGAAUUACUGGGCGUAAAGCGUGCGCAGGCGGUUUUGUAAGCCAGAUGUGAAAGCCCCGGGCUUAACCUGGGAAUGGCAUUUGGGACUGCAAGGCUGGAGUGUGGCAGGAGGAGACGUGGAAUUCCUGGUGUAGCAGUGAAAUGCGUAGAUAUCAGGAGGAACACCGAUGGCGAAGGCAGGUCUCUGGGCUGACACUGACGCUCAUGCACGAAAGCGUGGGAGCAACAGG